UCGAGCGAACAGAUAAGGAGCUUGCUCCUUUGACGUUAGCGGCGGACGGGUGAGUAACACGUGGGUAACCUACCUAUAAGACUGGGAUAACUUCGGGAAACCGGAGCUAAUACCGGAUAACAUUUGGAACCGCAUGGUUCUAAAGUGAAAGAUGGUUUUGCUAUCACUUAUAGAUGGACCCGCGCCGUAUUAGCUAGUUGGUAAGGUAACGGCUUACCAAGGCGACGAUACGUAGCCGACCUGAGAGGGUGAUCGGCCACACUGGAACUGAGACACGGUCCAGACUCCUACGGGAGGCAGCAGUAGGGAAUCUUCCGCAAUGGGCGAAAGCCUGACGGAGCAACGCCGCGUGAGUGAUGAAGGGUUUCGGCUCGUAAAACUCUGUUAUUAGGGAAGAACAAAUGUGUAAGUAACUGUGCACAUCUUGACGGUACCUAAUCAGAAAGCCACGGCUAACUACGUGCCAGCAGCCGCGGUAAUACGUAGGUGGCAAGCGUUAUCCGGAAUUAUUGGGCGUAAAGCGCGCGUAGGCGGUUUCUUAAGUCUGAUGUGAAAGCCCACGGCUCAACCGUGGAGGGUCAUUGGAAACUGGGAAACUUGAGUGCAGAAGAGGAAAGUGGAAUUCCAUGUGUAGCGGUGAAAUGCGCAGAGAUAUGGAGGAACACCAGUGGCGAAGGCGACUUUCUGGUCUGUAACUGACGCUGAUGUGCGAAAGCGUGGGGAUCAAACAGGAUUAGAUACCCUGGUAGUCCACGCCGUAAACGAUGAGUGCUAAGUGUUAGGGGGUUUCCGCCCCUUAGUGCUGCAGCUAACGCAUUAAGCACUCCGCCUGGGGAGUACGACCGCAAGGUUGAAACUCAAAGGAAUUGACGGGGACCCGCACAAGCGGUGGAGCAUGUGGUUUAAUUCGAAGCAACGCGAAGAACCUUACCAAAUCUUGACAUCCUUUGAAAACUCUAGAGAUAGAGCCUUCCCCUUCGGGGGACAAAGUGACAGGUGGUGCAUGGUUGUCGUCAGCUCGUGUCGUGAGAUGUUGGGUUAAGUCCCGCAACGAGCGCAACCCUUAAGCUUAGUUGCCAUCAUUAAGUUGGGCACUCUAGGUUGACUGCCGGUGACAAACCGGAGGAAGGUGGGGAUGACGUCAAAUCAUCAUGCCCCUUAUGAUUUGGGCUACACACGUGCUACAAUGGACAAUACAAAGGGCAGCUAAACCGCGAGGUCAUGCAAAUCCCAUAAAGUUGUUCUCAGUUCGGAUUGUAGUCUGCAACUCGACUACAUGAAGCUGGAAUCGCUAGUAAUCGUAGAUCAGCAUGCUACGGUGAAUACGUUCCCGGGUCUUGUACACACCGCCCGUCACACCACGAGAGUUUGUAACACCCGAAGCCGGUGGAGUAACCAUUU
rnacentral:rRNA from 1 species